rnacentral:rRNA from 1 species
UACGUAGGGUCCGAGCGUUUGUCCGGAAUUACUGGGCGUAAAGAGCUCGUAGGUGGUUUGUCGCGUUGUUCGUGAAAACUCACAGCUUAACUGUGGGCGUGCGGGCGAUACGGGCAGACUUGAGUACUGCAGGGGAGACUGGAAUUCCUGGUGUAGCGGUGGAAUGCGCAGAUAUCGAGGAGGAACACCGGUGGCGAAGGCGGGGUCUCUGGGCAGUAACUGACGCUGAGGAGCGAAAGCGUGGGGAGCGAACAGG